AAGAAUGAGAGUUAUGAUCAACUCAGUAUACCACUGGAGGCUACAGGAGCAAACAGCAAACUGUUUCUCAUGAAAGCAGGAUGUUCAAAGCAGGAUGUUGGCAAAAUGACAAACUGCAUCUGCCACCCAGAAGGAAUGCUGAGGGCAGUCAUGCCCCAAGUGCAGUGUUUUUGUGAUUAGGCACAACUGAAGCUUGUUAGCAAUAAUAUGACCCUGUGAUUAAUUGAGCGGCUGACCAAUCAUUACCUCCUCCUCCCUGCUCUUUCUACCCAAUAAAUACAAAGGGCUGUGGAAGCUCAAUGGGCUGCCUUUGCUCAUUAGAAGCAGGGAGCUCUCUUCUUCUUCCCCUGGAUCCUUCCUUUAAAAUAGUUUCUUUUGUCUUAAGUUUUCAUUUCUACGUUUGUCCCUUCAUUCAGUCUCUUAAAUGACGGUCUCAAGCAGUAACAGUAGUAAUUGCUGUAAUGACGGUCUCAAGUAGUAACCAGGGCACUCUGCCACAAGUGGCACCUGAACAGGGACUAACAGGGACUAUCAAGAACAAACGGAGACCUGAAGAGACCUGAAGGGAACUGAAGAGGUCUGCAGGGACAAAUAGAGAUAAGUAGGGAUAAAUAGAGAUAAAUAGAGACAAAUAGAGAUAGGUAAGGAAUGACAGGGACUUGCAGGAAGUAACAGGGACCAUAGGGACAGAUAGGGAUAGAUAAAGACUAGCAAAGACUAGCCGAGAUUAGCAAAGACCAGCAAGGACUAGCAGAGACUAGCAAAGACUAGCAGAAACUUGCAGGGACAGGCAGAGACAGAUAGGGACAGAUAGGGUCCUACAGGGACUUGAACGAGGAAGAUCUGCUGGAAAAGAAAAGAACUACAACCAACCAGAUGAACAAGAAACCCUGUUACAAGUCUGCUGGCAGCAACAUAAGGGUAUGCUUGUUUUUGCAGGAAAUGAACAAAAAGUGUGGGUGCCCCCAAGGUGUGUACUACCAUGGAAUGGGAGAUUGGAGGGACACAUGGAUCCCAACCGUGGGCCUGGUUCCCCCAGUAUGAGCUGAAUACGAAGACAGAACAAACCACCAACCGGCAAUUGAAGUGACACAAAGUGAACCGGGUUCUAUAAAUUACCAUGGAAAGUGGUGAGCCAACGAUUUGGCAGAACAAAACCCUGAGGAUAUGCAAACAAAAGGGACUAUGGAAUUUGCAAUUGCAGAUUAAAAUUGAAGAAGAAAACAUUUGAGUUGCAAAUACCGUAUUAAAAGUGGACACUGCUUAUGACUGCUGUAUGCAACAGUUUUUCAGGCCCGAGGUGAUAAAUAAAAAAUUGUUUGCUCUAUUUAA
rnacentral:lncRNA from 1 species